AGAAAGUUAACUCCCAAUAUAAAAUUUUAACCCAAAGCCAGUAAAACAUGUUAUGUCAGAACACGGCUAGAUCUAUAAAGCGGGUUUCAGCAACAUGUUGCAGCUGGUGCUGUGUAUUUAUAGCUUUAGAGGAAAAAAAAAGGAAAACACAACACAACAGCCAACGCACACUGGAAAGAGUAGAAAGCAUUUUAAAACAGCAAAUUUGUCAAUGUUUUUCCUCGCUGCGGAGUCGGACUCUGGGUCGGCACUGGUUUAGAUUAGCCGUGUCCCGUGCCGUUUGACAGUAGCGACACGAACCUGCGGCGCGUGGAUCUGAAGCAAAGAUAGGAGGAAGGAGGAGGAAUUCGGGGAAUGUUUUUCCUCGGAGCGCUGUCGGAGCGCUGACGGUGGGACCGGGGCUGCGGUGACAGCGUUAACACUUCCCAGAGCCGAAGACCCCGACGCUGGAAUGGCAUUGCCCACCCUGAAAGUGAGAAGCAAAAUAACCUCUAUCAUGCGACCGCUCGCUUUCUGGAUCUGCUCGCUGACACCAAGCGAAGCUGCUUGGGAAAGAGGAAUCCAGCGGUUACCAUGCAGCGAACCCCAGAGCUGUUACGCUUAUUGAGAUCAACUCUUCAAGGAGGGGAGUUGGAGGAAAAGCUCGAAGAACUGCAGCUUCGGGAGUUUGCAGGCGGCGUUUGCGCCUGUGAGAUGCAGCGUGCCCUCAGAAAGCUGCAAGUUUUGAUUUGCGAGCCCCUGGUGACAGCUAGAUAAGGAUCAAAUAAUCUGCAUUUCUAGACUCCCUUUCUGCUGUUAGCACCGCACACUUAGAAAGAGGUUCAAAUAAUCCCUAAUUUUUUUUCCUUCAUUUUAGCCCAGGCAGGAAAGGUCGACCCCACUAACAGCCCCUAGAGCUGCCGACGCGCGAUGCGGCCUCGGCGUUGCCCACGAUUUCUGGCACGGGUUUGUCACGGCGGCAGCCGCGACGUGUUUUUUUCCCCGACAGCUUGUCACAUGCUGCUCGCAUUUUUGAUGUGCAUUUUAUCCCUAUUUCUCAGCUCAAAUGGGCACCGGGGCGGGGGGUUUGUGCAUCAAAUGGAGCUCAAGACCAGUUAGUGAGCUCCUAAGCGCACGAGAACAGAAUUAAAGUAGCGAAGUACUUCAUUAGUGAAAGAGAUAAAAAUAACAGGUAAAAUGUCUGAGUUAUCUUCCGUUGCAGGUAAAGAUCCUGUAGACUCUCAUGCAGAUUUAUCUGGAAAAAUACUGUGGGAUCGGACUAAUUUUCUGUCAAAAUCUAUUAUUUCUGUGAAUAUUGCUUAACUGUGUGCACGCAAUUUUAAUAAUGAUUUACUUGAAGUAGGUAGAAGGUAAACGGUGAGAAAACAUGCGUAAAAUCUACUGACUGGGCUGAAAGAGAAGUGAUCUGAGCACUGAAGGAUAAAAAUGUAUUCCUUUUGAAUAAAAAACCCCCAACUUUCGAAGU